CACGAACCGUACGAACGUUAUUCGGAAUCACUGGGCUUAAAGAGUGCGUAGGCGGCCUUGUAAGUUGGGUGUGAAAUCCCUCGGCUCAACCGAGGAAUUGCGCUCAAUACUGCAGGGCUUGAGGGAGAUAGAGGUGAGCGGAACUAAUGGUGGAGCGGUGAAAUGCGUUGAUAUCAUUAGGAACACCGGAGGCGAAAGCAGCUCACUGGGUCUUUUCUGACGCUGAGGCACGAAAGCUAGGGGAGCGAACGGGAUUAGAUACCCCGGUAGUCCUAGCUGUAAACGAUGAGCACUGGGUCGAGGGUGCUUCCACACAUUCUCGGCCGUAGCGAAAGUGUUAAGUGCUCCGCCUGGGGAGUAUGGUCGCAAGGCUGAA
rnacentral:rRNA from 1 species